AGAAGUGGAUCUACGGCCAGAACUGAACUAUUCCCUC
rnacentral:sRNA from 1 species